rnacentral:rRNA from 1 species
GAUGAACGCUGGCGGCGUGCCUAAUACAUGCCAGUCGAGCGAACGGACGAGAAGCUUGCUUCUCUGAUGUUAGCGUCGGACGGGUGAGUAACACGUGGAUAACCUACCUAUAAGACUGGGAUAACUUCGGGAAACCGGAGCUAAUACCGGAUAAUAUUUUGAACCGCAUGGUUCAAAAGUGAAAGACGGUCUUGCUGUCACUUAUAGAUGGAUCCGCGCUGCAUUAGCUAGUUGGUAAGGUAACGGCUUACCAAGGCAACGAUGCAUAGCCGACCUGAGAGGGUGAUCGGCCACACUGGAACUGAGACACGGUCCAGACUCCUACGGGAGGCAGCAGUAGGGAAUCUUCCGCAAUGGGCGAAAGCCUGACGGAGCAACGCCGCGUGAGUGAUGAAGGUCUUCGGAUCGUAAAACUCUGUUAUUAGGGAAGAACAUAUGUGUAAGUAACUGUGCACAUCUUGACGGUACCUAAUCAGAAAGCCACGGCUAACUACGUG